UACGGGGGGAGCAAGCGUUGUUCGGAUUUACUGGGCGUAAAGGGCGCGUAGGCGGUCAGCACAAGUCAGUUGUGAAAUCUCCGAGCUUAACUCGGAACGGUCAACUGAUACUGUGCGACUAGAGUGCGGAAGGGGCAACUGGAAUUCUCGGUGUAGCGGUGAAAUGCGUAGAUAUCGAGAGGAACACCUGCGGCGAAGGCGGGUUGCUGGGCCGACACUGACGCUGAUGCGCGAAAGCGUGGGGAGCAAACGGG
rnacentral:rRNA from 1 species